UCUUUCUUCAGUGGAAAUUAACCUGACAAAUGAUUAUUAUGUAAGUGGAGGUGGCUUAGACACUGUAUUCAAAGCAAGCAAGAUCACUUUUCACUGGGGAAAAUGCAACGCAUCAUCAGAUGGAUCAGAACAUAGUUUGGAAGGACAAAAAUUUCCUCUUGAGAUGCAAAUCUACUGCUAUGAUGCAGAUCAAUUUACAAGUUUUGAAGAGGCAAUUAAAGGAAAUGGAAAGCUAAGAGCUUUAUCAAUUCUGUUUGAGAUUGGACUAGAAGAUAAUCCGGAUUAUAUU